rnacentral:lncRNA from 1 species
UUUUUUGGCUGAAAUUUGAAGCCCUUGGCUCAUUUUGUGUGAAGAACACAAAUCUGAAGAGAUUUUUCAGAUAGGACCACCGCAACCCCCCCAAACAAAUUUACUAUACACUUGUUCUCCUGGGGUCUGACAGGCCCCGCAAUACUGCAGGCCACUUUGCCUGCAGUAAACCCUUUGAAGCCAGCCGCUAAAUGGCCCAAUUGACACACAAACAGCUCAAAACAGCUCAGAAUAUCUCCAGACACACACACACAUCACUUCCCAACCCCCACCUCAGCCAGACAAGCAGGGGAGGGCGCACUUGGAUGAGAUGGCCAGUUGCUGUUGGCUGUGAGAAAUGUGGCAUGUUUACGCGUGUUUACAACCUAUUGGUGGGUCUCCUUGUCAGUUAUGAGGCUUAUUUGCAUGUUUUAUGAUCACGUUGAAAGACGACACCCACACUUGUUGCUGGGCAGAGACGGUGGAGAGGUGGAGAGAGCAGCGCUGUGCGCUGUAUCCACAGUAUGGCUGUAGCCACAUAGCAUAGCAUAGCAAGCGACGGAUAGGCGAAUAAGUUGUUAGACGGACCUGGACAUGAUUUUUAGGCGAGAGAAGGUUCUGAAAUUGACGCAGAGGAAUAAAUGUCAUAUUUGGAGGACAACAUUACUCUCUGGUGAGCCAAAAUAACGAGGAAAACGGGUGGAGCAGUGCGUCAGCGAGGCGCGUCUGAGGACUGGAACCGCCGGUCACAGGGCGAGACAAGCUAAUACUGAUGUAUUGGAGGAGUGCGUCAGCGUCAGCGUCCCGGGACGGCACACGCACGUCACCGAGGUCGUGCACGUGACAGAUGUGGAGCUAUGAAUCCAUAAAGAUGCUUGGGGUCUGAGGGACCCCAGGACAACAAGUGUAUAGUGAUUCUUAAGAGAGCACAAGGGUUAAAU